UUGCGCCCUCUGGUAUUCCAUAGGGCAUGCCUGUUUGAGCGUCAUUU
rnacentral:rRNA from 1 species